CGGAAGAGUGGGACGUUAUGGAACCUUCUCAGCUUAUUCAGAGAGGCUUCUUCUUCCUAUUUAGUCUCCCUCUGGCUUUCUCUGCUGGGAUCUGGGUGGUAGAAGAAGCAGGGGGAUCAACGAACAGGCUGAGCGCCAAGAAGCCUGAAGAUUCCAGAAUCUAGCGGGAAAAGCAUUCAGAGUCAGAAUGAGCCACUUCCAGCAUCGAUGGUGUCAGGUCAGGUCCUCUGGGUAGAAGAAAUGGAGUCAGUUAGGAGUGCUGGAGACUGAGUAAGAGGUGGCAGCUGAGGCUUACUACCCCAGGAAAGGGAUGCCACCAGAGAAGGCAGACAACCAAGAUGGCGACUCUCAAUUUUUGAGCUCCUAAUUUUCUCAUGUCAGACAUAAGAAAAAAAAAAUAUUUUUUAAAGAAAAAGCUUUAGGUUGCAAAAAUCUAGGCCUUUCAACUUUAAAAUCCUAUUCUUGCAAGCCUUGGAGAAUAAAGCUUAUGCAUAAACAGUAGAUUUGGAAACAGAAAUAUGCCUAAUUACCCAGAGCCAUUCUUUCAAUACGCCAGUGAUUGUUUAAAGAUUCUAUAGGCUGGAGUCAAUGGCAGGAGGCGGGUGGGAAAAGAGUCAAGAGGGAGGAGAGAAGAAGCAAGAGGGUUGGGUAGAUAUUGUCACAUGACCCUGAGAGGAGGAUUCUGGGUCAAACCCCUAGGGGGUUGUGUGUAAUGGAGACUCCAGAUCCAUUUGGGAAUCUGGCUCCAAAGAAGACUUCACCUUGCCUUCUGAGUGGAGCCCUGAAGUGGCAAGACUCAUAGAAUUCCCCCACGGGUCCACACGAGAGAGAAUGAAUAGAGAAGGCUGCGUGCUGGCUGGACCAAGGCAGCCUCGGGUGACACCACCACCACCACCACCACCGCCGCCAUCGCCAUCACCACUGCUGCUGCCAUCACCGCCACCACCACCACCAUCACCACCACCACCAUCACCACCACCACCACCACCACCACCACCAUCACCACAUUAUGGACAAUAGCCCAAUGUUUCCUGAGUUCCCUAGAGGGUUGAAAGAGAAUAGGACCUAGAGAGAUCACAUAGUUGGGACAGGCACUCAUUAAUUUGAUCCAAUGACAAGAGACCAGAUGGGAAGAAGGAUGCCUUGAGAGAUGUCAGUGUGCACCCAUGGAUAGAAGCAGCUGGUGACUGGGCACUUGGGAAGCCACAUGGACACACACAAAGCUCCUGGAAGAUGUUUUCAAGGGGUUGGGCUGUGCUGGGAUCCAGAACUGGCUGAAGAAACCAUGAGCUGACAUAAAAUUUCUGCCACCUAGCAGAAUGGAGGCUCCAUUUGGAAAUUAAAUUAUAUACUUAAAAAAACUA
rnacentral:lncRNA from 1 species